rnacentral:lncRNA from 1 species
CAACAACUGCAGUUCGGGGGAUAGACACAGAACGGUGGCCUCUCGUAUGUCCAAAGAACAGAGAAGUUUGGAGGUUUUAUGAAGAGGAGAAAUGCUGUGUAUUGUUUUGAAAUAAAGUUCCUUGGCACUAGUAAGGUUUUGGGGAUGCUGGCGAACACUGAUUUGUGGGUGAUGGUGUUAGAUUUCAGCAGGUUGUUCCAGUGGCUGUUAGAUAAAACUGGUUUCAGGUUACACCUGGCAGUUCCAGCAGCCAGGUCUGCAGAGAAUCGUAUGCUUGAAGGAACGUCUUGUGCCUCAAGCGCUUUACCCGCAACCUCUGGACUCUGUUUUAGUUGAGUGUGACAAGAAAGACCCAAGGCGUAUGAAGCUUUGACCCUGUUUUGUAAACUCCCUUUGAUGCGGUCAGAGUUCAUUUGGGGAAACUUCUGGGAAUAGUCAACACGGCCGGUUGGAAACGGAGGUGGAAUUCAGUGGUUACAGCAGAAGCCUGCACUCUAUCGUCCAGUGAGAGCAGCCCAGGGAUGGGCACUCAUGAAGGAGAGUGAUGCUGCCCACAGGAAGCAGGCCAGUGCUGAGCAGAGAGAACCACAAGAAAAGCAGACAGGUCUGCCCGCGUUUGAGCUGGUAUCACUUGCCCAGCAGGCAGGCAUGGGGUGACACAUGACUGGGCGAGCCACUCGCUGGGUGGGGCAUUCACACAGGUCAGCUCAAACCAGAUGGAGCCUGGGACUGUGACCAAGGAGCGAGUGAAGGUCAAAGCCACACAUGGGGCUGAGGGGCCAGGUGGCCGCCUUAUGAGAUCGAAGGCGGGAAGCUUUGGAACAGGGCAAAAAGGGGAGCCCAGGGUGAGGGGAGAGGGCCGAGCAGCUCGGAUCUCUGAUGGUGAGCUGUGCAGAGAUGGGGAAGCGCCUCUUUUCCUCUUUCAUGUGGGUGUCAGGGGGGGUCCAGGCCUGAGGGAGCCAAGCUGGAGGGUGCAGGGUUUCGCGUCUGCCUCGGAACUGGAUGUUUGAAAGCAAAGGUGAACGGCCCAGCAGGCCCGCUGGGGCACUGGGAGAACUGGUUUUUGCCAUUUUAGGAAUUGUUUGGCUUUGGCUUUUUUUCUCACUAAGAAAUUGGAAUCUGAAAGAGCCUUUCAGCUUAUUGUUGAAAAUCCAUCAGGACCUGAAAAUUAGAGACCGGGCCUGAGCUUUCAGCACAUUUAAACUCACGGGAGCGAGGUGGAAAAGCCACAGGAAGUGGAUGCACUAAUUUAGAAAAUAGGGAGAGGGAAGACAGCGCCUGUCCCCUCCCUGAUUGACCACAGGUAACCCCUGGUCUCUCUGUCUACUGAGGCUGAGUGGCCUGUUCUGGGUCUGACUACCCUACCCUGGGGCCUGACUCUGCCCCGCCCCUCGCAACACUCAACAAACGCUUGUGGAAGGAGUGAACAAAUGACAAGUCACGAAACCUAAAUACAGAGUCUUCAGCUUUGGAGGAGACUGAGGUGCGGGACAUGGAAAAGAAGGUCAUUCUCUUGGAGCCCCAACAAUGACCAGGAGAAAUUCAUUUGGCGGUAAAACCACACGAACCCUAUUACAUCACCAAGCCCUCACCGUUUCCAGCACCCAGGGUCUCUACAAAGAGGCAAGCUGGGACUGAAAUCUCUCCCGAGUGUGGAAGACGGACGGGAGCAGCAGCCGGACAGCACAGCUCAAGGCCGAGAGGCUCACUGGGUGACUCGGGCCGCUUUGGGGUGGCUGUGAGAAGCGAAGGGAGGCUGACUCGGGGUGUGGUGGGGAGUGAAGCCACCACCUUAUUGCCUAGGCCUUCCCUUGAUGCACUUGGAAAAUAAGUUGCUCUUUCUUCACCGGGUGGGGACAUUAAUUAAUGUUUGCAAAAGUCUUUAUGAUCCUUGUCAAAAGGUGUUCGGCCGGCUCUAAUUAUCCAGGUUUCAGCUGCCACCGCUUCCAUCUCAGCACAGCAUCUCUGCCCUGGAAGAUGUCAAACAAGAUUGCUGUUGUCAGGAUGUGCAUCCAGCUCAUGUGGAUUUCUAUCUGCAUCUCCAAAUACUGCCCAGAUUCCAAAGCCCUGCAAGGGGAUGGUAUCUUGUUUGGGGAGAUGAGACCUGUGCCCCGCCCAGCUCCACCCCGUAAGAAGGCAGCUGCCUGGGAGGUAUAAUUUGAUAAGUUUCUGGAAGGACUCACACAUCCAAAACCAACUCCCCAUGUCUUCUCAUGGGGGCCGGAAAUUCCUCCACUAAAAAUUCACUCCUUCACGGGUCUUCGAUGCUUUCUCAAGUAGUCUAGGACACGGUGGUGGAGGGAGAACCAGCCCAGGAGCCAGGCAGCCUAGCCCUGGGUUUCCUCCUUGUGUGGGUGCUGGCUCUGCCCUUACCGGCCUGGUGACCUGGAUAAACUCAUUCUCUUUCUUUCUCAUUUUUUCCACCUAAAAUGGCAACGCUAAUGCCUGUCUCACGUGCUGUCGUGCAGAUUAGAUGAGAUAAUGGAUGUGAACGCCAAGUGUUGCAGAGACGUAAGCGGCAUUAUCGUUACUGAAAUGUCCCAGCCAGAUCAUCCCCAGGAGGGAUUAAUGGCCCACCAGGACAGGUGGGCACCUGGGGUGGUCGGAAGAGCCAGGAGAACCACAGCAGGGAAAAAGACUUCAGGAAAGGAAAGGAGAGAGACCCCACCGCUGGCACAACCACAGAAGUUUUGGGGAUGAGGAGGGGCUCUAGAUAUUUCCCCACUUCCCCAGACAGCCGUGUGCCCUUACAGGGGAACUGAAGCUGCCCACCCGGCUCAGGCCUGACCCCCCAGGUACCUGCUGCCCCAGGUGUGCGGGAGGAGGGUGAUGGCAGACGGACACCCACCUGGUGAAAGAGCCAGUCAGAAAAAUAACUGAGCGUGCCUGGGUGCAUGCAGACACAUCCCCAGGUAAUUUAGACAAAAAGGCCCCGUGUUGGCACGAGUAGCCCAUGGAUGUCAGACCAGAGUAAUUGCUUUCUUUGUCAGAAUUUCCUGCAUAAUUUCCUCUCCUUUGUUUAGCUGAGAGAACCUGGCCUUGCAUCUGGGAGUCUGCUUGCCAAACAUGAUUGGGUUCUUAGAGAUGAAAGACACAGAGUGAGCUAUUUUCCAUAAACACACUGGCACAUGUGUUAAUUACUGCAAGGAGAAAACCAGCCCCCAUGUUUCACGUGGGAGGUGCGUGGUGCUGUGGGGGGAGCGAUGGGUGGAGGGAGGACACCCUUCAGGAUCACAGUAGCUACUUCUCACCAGGACACUGCUGCCAUCCAGCCUUUGUUCUGGGCAUUUUGCGUUAAAAAUCUCAUUUAAUCUUCACAACAGGCCUGUGAGGCAGAAUCCAGGAAUGGAAAGAACUCGGGUUUAGAAGCCAAACAUUGCUGGAUUUAGUUCUGUCCUCAGCCACUUACUGAGUGAACGGGGCAAGCUACUUGCUUACUGGAGCUUCAGUUUUCCCGUCUGUUAAAUGGAAAUAAUACUGGCUUCAGUGUGUUGUGAGAAUUCCCUAUAGUAAUGACUGUGAAACAGCUGAAACCCUGCAGGCAGGUGGUAAAUGAUAGCUCUCGUGUUGCCCUUUAUGGAUAAGGAUGCAAGAAGUUUAGGAUGGUUGGCCAAUGCCACACUGCUGGUCAGCAGCAGAGCUAGGUCCGUCUCCCUGCCAAAGGCAGGCAUUUUGCUCAGAGGCCACCAAACCCAUACCCUUGGUGGCCAACAUGGCAGCGGCCGGAUCGGAGUCUCCCCCCAGUACUUUGUAAGCCCAUUGAGGGUAAGACUAUGCAUCAGAUCUCUUGGCAUCCUUGGUAUCCUUGGCAGGUCUCUUGGUAUCCUUGGCAUCCUCUCUCACAGUGCCGUAAAUGUUCCUUAAAUGGAUGAAAGCAUUCAGGAGCACCUAGAAUAGAUUGAGCAGAUAACCGCAUAACAGGUGUCCACUGUGUGCAUAUAACUUCAGCCUCUUCUGCGUUGUUGGGACAUGAAGUCCCUUCGCUUUGCAUGGAAAAUAGUCUAGGCACCCCCUGGCUGACUUGCCACGAUGCCUGUCCUCAGGACAGGAAGAAGGAUGGGCCCAAGGAGGAGAAUUGCGUCAGAGGUCAAGAAAUGAACUCCAGCAGAAGUAGCACAAACAGGGAACCCAUAAGGAAGCUUGUGAUGAACAAACAUAGGGCAGAUGAAGUGGAAUAUUGGAUGGAAACACACCUUGAAAAUGCACAGACCUGUGGCAAGGGAAGGGAUCACUGCUUAGAUCAAUAGCAGGGCCUUGGACCAUGGUUAGGGGGAUGCUUGUUAGUGCUUCCCUGGGCUGCAGGGAGCCACGGAAAACAGGCCAGGGCAGGAGACCGGCCAGUGACUCACACGGCGGAACACAGGUUUAGAGGAGCAAAAUCUGAAGGGCCCCUCUCCUUCUCCCCACCUGUUUUCUGUCACGUGCUCUGGACCUGAGCCCACAGUGGGGCAGCUCCCUCGGCCUCCAGUGGAAGGCGGAAGCACUUGACAAAAAGCCUCCAGUUAACCGGGGCAAGCAGCAGGGUGGGGCUCAGGCCUUCUGGCCAAGUCCUUGUCUCCCUCGAGUCUCCAGCUUUCUCCUGAGAGGCAAAGCCCUCGCCAGGCAGGCUUUAAUAAGCAGUAGUGCCCUGCACCCCUGCCCAAGUCCCCGGACCCCAUGCUGGCAGGCUACUGCAGCCCCUAUCUUGCCUGGCACAUGGCACAUGGGGUGUCUUGGCAUGUGGGGUGGUGCUGUAUGCCUGUAGUCACAGACUGGCACUCACUGCAAGAGCUUCCAAUGUGUGAGAGCUGAGGCUAGAGUUCCUUGCUGCCUGUGAAGAUGGUGCUGUGACCGGAGCAGGCCUCAUAAUGAGCCGGUGAUUUCAUCCCCUCCAGACAGAAGACAAAGUCUGUGCCUUCUGGGCAAAACAUUAGCUGACCCGUGACACUGCUCAGACCCCAGAGGCCUGGCUCCCGGCCUGCCGGGAGCAGUCACUCCAAACAGCUGCGGCUGUGAGGCCUUCAGAGAGUGGCUAAUUAGGGUCUCACCUGGCCAGCUCCAAUCUGCAACCACAAGCUCGAGGCCCAGCUGCCUCUCCCCAGUGCCUCUGGGGCUCCGCUGCCUCCCUCACAGAUGGCGAGUGACUUCCUUGAUCUGUAUAAACAAGAAUUCUGCCUUAUUCAAACAGCAAUGAUAGAUUGGAGGAUCUACUAUGUACAACACACUGUGCUUGCAUCCAAUGGUAGAGUUAGAAAAAAAAAUGUGAUGUCCUGUGAUGUUAAGAAGUGAAGAACCCCAUGGGGAGGUAGCAGAAAACAUCCAACAGUGAGUGGCAACAGGUGUGCUGGUCACCGAGGGCUUCUUGGGCAAGGUCAUUCAUGAACUGGGUCUUGCAGCACAGAUGUGCUGGGAGUGGAAGAGGACACAGUUAGAUGCCACUUUAUCCUCACUAUAGUGGCACAAAUGGAGAAGGCUGAUGAUGCUGUGUGCUGGGGAAGAGGUGGGUGUGUAGGUUGUCUACCUGUUGGCCGUGGGAGUGUAAAUGAGUCACCCACUCAGGAAAAUAGCUGAACAACCCCCAGGGGUACAUUCCUGUACACCACCACCCAGCAAUUCCACUCGUAGGUAUACACUUCAGAAAACUCUUACACAAAAAUAUUCACAGCAGGACUGUUCAAACGCCCACCAACAGAAGAAUGGAUAAACAGGUGUGUUCACACCAUGGAGUAUCAGACAGCGUCCAAAGAGAGGAAUUACGGCCACCCUAGCAAUAUGGACAAUGCUUAUCAACUUACUACUAAGUGAGAAAAGUAAGUCCCAAAAGAGUACAAACAGCAUGACACCCUCUCAAAGAAGGCAAAGAGAUGUCAAAUAUAAUAUACACAUUUUAGGACUCCAAGGAAUAGGUAAGAUGAGAGGACAGGAUAGGAAAAUAGGCCAGGAGCUGUGGCUCAUGCCUGGAAUCCCAGCACUUAGGUAGGCCGAGGCAGUUAGAUCACUUGAGCCCAGGAGUUCAAGACCACCCUGGACAAUAUAGCGAAACCUCGUCUCUACAAAAAAUACAAAAAUUAGCCAGGUGUGCUGGCAUGUGCCUGAAGUCCCAGCUACUUAGGAGGCUGAAGCGAGAGGAUUGCUUGAGCCUGGAAGGUCAAGGCUGCAGUGAGCUGUGAUCGUGCCACUGCACUCCAGCCUGGGUAAUAGAGAAAGAUCCUGUCUCAAAAAAAAAAGGAAAACACAGAAAGGAGGCACACAGGAUUCGGGGUGACAGCUAUCUUGGGAUAGCUCCCUGCAGCCCAGGGAAGCACUAGGGAGGGAAUGGGAUGGGGUAGGCCACACAGCUGAUGUCAGCUCUUGCUAAGGCCCAGCUUUCAGGCUGGGUGGUGGUUUCACAGGUGACUAUUCUGUUACUUUAAAAUGUGAUCUAUUAGCACAGCUAGGGACGUAGGACUAUGCCUGUAAUAGCAAAAGUAAUAAAAUGCAUCAAAGCCCAGGA